UUUUCUUCUGUCCGUUUCUUCCUCCCCGCGCGCCGGACGCCGAAGCCCAACCGCCGCGGCGGUUUCUUCUCCUCCUCUUCUUUUAUUUCUUCUCCUCGAUCGCGCCGCACCACUUCCAAUCCUCCUCUCUUCCCCGACGCUUCUCUGCCUGAUCCCACGCUACUGCCCUGAUCGUUUCCUUGCCACGGAGAUCCCCGAAUCGCGCCGAGUAGCGUCGCCGCCACUCCGACCCGGAGCCGAGCCCUAGCUCGAUUCAUUGCGCGCGACUUCCCCUGCUUCUUACCUGUCUCGGCUGUUGAGAUCAGGAAGCGCCGACACCCUCUUCCUCUCUUCUCCUUUCUUGUCCAAGCGCCGGCAACGCUCAAGCCGCUCACCACCGGCCGCCUCCUCUGUGCUAGCCGCCGUGCGUCACUCGACCUCUCCCUCUCCUGGUCGCGGUCAACAAGAGCUCGCCGGAAGGAAGGAUCAGCACCACCAUUUCGUCUCUGCCCUAGCGAAGUAACUUGCGGUGUCUGCAACCAACGGUCUCCAGCAGUGGCUACUCCUUUCGGCGGCACUAUCCCUAGGUGUGGAUCAACAACCGCUGUGAAUUGAGGACUGUGAUGCGAAACGAGUAUCUCGACGUCGGAAUUGGACCGGAUACGAUCCUUUCUAUU